rnacentral:siRNA from 1 species
UUCAUUUGUAUUCUUAGGUGUGUC